UGCAAAAGUUUCUUCAUCGUUGUUAUCACUUUUGGGAUGCCAAAUUUGAUAAAUAUGUGCUUUCUUAGAAAUUUUAUCACUAGUUUAGAGCAUGACCACUUUCACCCAUUUUGAUACAUAAUCAACAGCUGCCAAGUUGUACAAAAUUUUGAAUUGUGGCAGAAAGGGGCCCAUGAAGUCAAUCUAGCAAACAUCAAAAAGCUAAACAUCUAAAAUGCUGUUUGUGGGCAUCUCUUUACAUCUGGUAAAUAUCUGCAGAUGAUUUGAUUGGCACAAAACUUGUACAGGUAGUUGAUGAAGUCUGCAAACCACAGUAUUGGAUCAGUGCUAAGAAAAAUAACUGCUCAUCAGGGAAUUUCUCCAGGAUUGGUUCUUGAUUAUGCUUGCUCCCUUCAACAUUCUCCAACAUGAAAAGAUGAUCUGCCACCACAUUCUCAAUGCCCUUUUUGUUAUAUUUUGUUAUUUAUCUCAAGGUCAAACUCUUAGAACAAUAGUGCAGUAGUGCCUAGUGGAUCAAUCUAGGUUUUGCAUCAUUCUUCUCAAUUAAGACUACUCGAAUGUGUAACAUAUUGGUUGGAAAUAAAAAAAAAAUCCUAACGCGUUAGGUCUGAACACCCACUCUGUUUGAAAAAAAUAUAUAAGUACUUGAUGGUUGCAUGAUAUGAAACAAUUACCUUAGCUUCAAUGAUAUAAGCUUUGAACUUAUUAAAUGCGAAGACUAUUGCUAAUCACUCUUUUUUCAUAGUAGCGUAAUUCAAUUACGCAUCUAUAAGUGUAAGACUGACAUCAUGUAUGGUGUGGAAGAAAUUUCUGAUUUUCUGCUCCAAUACAACCCCAACUACGUAGUGACUUGUAUCAUACAUCAACUCAAAUUGUAGGUUCCAAUCUAACGCAAUAAUAAUGGAUGUUGUAAUGAGAGCCUUUCAACAUCUUGAAAGCUUUGAGACACUAUCAAUGUUGAAUGGAACAUUACUUGUCAAUAAAUUAUAAAGAGAGUUUUGGUGAUUUUUUAGAAGUUUUGAAUGAACUUUAUGUAGAAUGCAAUUUGUCCCAAAAGGGUGUGAGUAAGUUUGAUUGAUGUAGGGGAAGGAAGUUUCUCAUGUCUACUAUAGAAACAUUAUAUCUUCAGACUAUCCUCAUCAAUCAUAAAAUGACAUUUCUUCUAAUUUUAACACCAAAUUUGUCUCGUAACAUUUGUUAAAUCUUACUGCUAAAUUGUAGCACUCGGUUAUUUCUGCAUAACGCAAGCAUUACGUGUGGGGGAGGCUAAGGACGCGAGGUUCACAAGGAUUUAUGAAACCCACCCUCGUUAUGAAGCAGAACGACUUUGCAACCUGAGAAGAGAAACAAAGAGGUGUGUGAAGGAGAGGAGUAGUACAUUAAGUGAUGCCAUCGAAUAAAGCCUGGCUAGAGCAAUAACUGAGAGCUAUACGAGGGUGAUGUCGACUUCGAUCAUGAACACCAUCAUAUGUGGGGGGUUGAUCAACAUGUACAAUGGCAAUGACAAUGGUGUGAGGGGCUCUUGCAUGGAUUCUAGUGUCGAGGAAGGCUCUCCAAAGGGAGAAGCGAUAUACCAAGUGAGAGGCUAUGCAGGUGACGUUGAGGCUCACAAAGUUGUUGUGUAUUUGGAGUUGGAAAAGUAUCGGAGAAGGAAGAAGCGAUAGAAUUGGAGGAGGAAGAAGCGAUGGGAUUGUAUGCUAGGUCGAGGACAGCAUGUGAGUAAUCGAUUGUUGUAUGCUAGCUGUCCCUUGUUGAAAGAGGUGCUAAGCAGUGUCAAGGGUAACGACGCUAGCGAUCAAAGUCGAAGGAGGUGAUGUUGUCGGGCAAGCUUUGGCUUCGUCAAGCAGGGAAAGCCUUCAGUGCUGUUUGUUUUUCCUUGGUUUUGAAGCAUUUUUGAGCCGAGGUAACUUCAAUGAAGUAUUUUCAAUUUUUUUAA